rnacentral:rRNA from 1 species
AUACGGAGGGUGCAAGCGUUAUUCGGAAUCACUGGGCGUAAAGGACGCGUAGGCGGGUUGGCAAGUCAGAUGUGAAAUCCUACAGCUUAACUGUAGAACUGCAUUUGAAACUGCUAACCUAGAGUAUGGGAGGGGGAGAUGGAAUUAGUGGUGUAGGGGUAAAAUCUGUAGAUAUCACUAGGAAUACCGAAAGCGAAGGCGAUCUCCUGGAACAUAACUGACGCUAAGGCGUGAAAGCGUGGGGAGCAAACAGAAUUAGAAACCCGAGUAGUCC